AAUACCGCAUAAGAUUGUAAUAUCGCAUGGUAUAGCAAUUAAAGGAGCAAUCCGCUAUGAGAUGGACCCGCGUCGCAUUAGCUAGUUGGUGAGGUAACGGCCCACCAAGGCAACGAUCAGUAGCCGACCUGAGAGGGUGACCGGCCACAUUGGGACUGAGACACGGGCCCAAACUCCUACGGGAGGCAGCAGUGGGGAAUAUUGCACAAUGGGCGAAAGCCUGAUGCAGCGACGCCGCGUGAGCGAUGAAGUAUUUCGGUAUGUAAAGCUCUAUCAGCAGGGAAGAAGAAUGACGGUACCUGACUAAGAAGCACCGGCUAAAUACGUG
rnacentral:rRNA from 1 species